UACGAGAGGGGUAAACGUAAUUCAUCAUAAAUGGGUCUAAAGAGUAUGUAGAUGGCCUCAUAAAAUUGCAUAGUUCCAAACUUAAUGAAAAAUAACUAUCCGAUGACUAUGAAGCUAGAGUGUAAUGGAGGAAAGAGGAAUUCCGAGAGUAGGGAUGGAAUCUGUUGAUCUUCGGAAGACCGCUUUAGGCGAAGGCUUCUUUCUAACUAACCACUGACACUGAGAUACGAAAGUAUGGGUAGCAAAACGG
rnacentral:rRNA from 1 species